rnacentral:rRNA from 1 species
GUGCCAGCAGCCGCGGUAAAACGUAGGACGCAAGCGUUAUCCGGAGUUACUGGGCGUAAAGCGCGGGCAGGCGGCUCGAUGCGUCUGAUGUGAAAUCUCCUCGCUCAACGGGGAGAGGCCAUUGGAAACGGACGAGCUGGAGGGCAGUAGAGGUAGGCGGAAUUCCGGGUGGAGUGGUGAAAUGCGUAGAGAUCCGGAGGAACACCAGAGGCGAAGGCGGCCUACUGGGCUGCACCUGACGCUGAGCCGCGAAAGCCAGGGGAGCGAACGGGAUUAGAAACCCCCGUAGUCC